UGCCUGUAAGACUGGGAUAACUCCGGGAAACCGGAGCUAAUACCGGAUAGUUCCUUGAACCGCAUGGUUCAAGGAUGAAAGACGGUUUCGGCUGUCACUUACAGAUGGACCCGCGGCGCAUUAGCUAGUUGGUGAGGUAACGGCUCACCAAGGCGACGAUGCGUAGCCGACCUGAGAGGGUGAUCGGCCACACUGGGACUGAGACACGGCCCAGACUCCUACGGGAGGCAGCAGUAGGGAAUCUUCCGCAAUGGACGAAAGUCUGACGGAGCAACGCCGCGUGAGUGAUGAAGGUUUUCGGAUCGUAAAGCUCUGUUGUUAGGGAAGAACAAGUGCAAGAGUAACUGCUUGCACCUUGACGGUACCUAACCAGAAAGCCACGGCUAACUACGUGCCAGCAGCCGCGGUAAUACGUAGGUGGCAAGCGUUGUCCGGAAUUAUUGGGCGUAAAGGGCUCGCAGGCGGUUUCUUAAGUCUGAUGUGAAAGCCCCCGGCUCAACCGGGGAGGGUCAUUGGAAACUGGGAAACUUGAGUGCAGAAGAGGAGAGUGGAAUUCCACGUGUAGCGGUGAAAUGCGUAGAGAUGUGGAGGAACACCAGUGGCGAAGGCGACUCUCUGGUCUGUAACUGACGCUGAGGAGCGAAAGCGUGGGGAGCGAACAGGAUUAGAUACCCUGGUAGUCCACGCCGUAAACGAUGAGUGCUAAGUGUUAGGGGGUUUCCGCCCCUUAGUGCUGCAGCUAACGCAUUAAGCACUCCGCCUGGGGAGUACGGUCGCAAGACUGAAACUCAAAGGAAUUGACGGGGGCCCGCACAAGCGGUGGAGCAUGUGGUUUAAUUCGAAGCAACGCGAAGAACCUUACCAGGUCUUGACAUCCUCUGACAACCCUAGAGAUAGGGCUUUCCCUUCGGGGACAGAGUGACAGGUGGUGCAUGGUUGUCGUCAGCUCGUGUCGUGAGAUGUUGGGUUAAGUCCCGCAACGAGCGCAACCCUUGAUCUUAGUUGCCAGCAUUCAGUUGGGCACUCUAAGGUGACUGCCGGUGACAAACCGGAGGAAGGUGGGGAUGACGUCAAAUCAUCAUGCCCCUUAUGACCUGGGCUACACACGUGCUACAAUGGACAGAACAAAGGGCUGCGAGACCGCAAGGUUUAGCCAAUCCCACAAAUCUGUUCUCAGUUCGGAUCGCAGUCUGCAACUCGACUGCGUGAAGCUGGAAUCGCUAGUAAUCGCGGAUC
rnacentral:rRNA from 2 species